UAGCACAGCUGGCCUGGACCGCUUCUUGUGCAGCCGGAUAAGCCAUACACCACUCCGCGCAGCUGCCAUUUGAUCCUCAGCUUCUCCUCCUCCCUCCCUCUUAGUCUCCUGAAGGAAGUUCUGAUAUCAAAGCCCGUCAGCAUCCUCUCCCUAAGGGAGUAAGUAGAAGGGAGUGACGUGGAGAGAGGGGAAUGAGAGGAAUCAGCCAGUCUGGGAAAGGAAGAAGGCAGUGGCUAUUUUGAUCCUGUCACAGAUGUCUGCAUAGGACAGUGCCUCCAUUAUCAGCGAGUUCCGGGGACAUUCUCAGUCAUGAAGCAUCUCCUCUGGUGAUCUGCGAAACACGGGCAGGAGCAAGCCACAGAUGGUUUGAAAAGCAGAACAUAAGAAAACAAAAGCUUCAGAAGACUGGCGUCAUGGUAGGACGUAAACCCAACAGAAGAGAAAAUGCCCUGAAGCUACAAUUAGAGGUUCAAACAGGGCUCGGCGUGUGGACGGAGGUGUGUGGACGGUCGACACAUUUACAUUUCUAUCCUGACCUGCUAAUACACAACCUGGAGUUGUGGGGCAAGAGCUGCCUUCAACCCAAACACUCAUUUUCACCACAGAUUCUGCACCCGAAGACAACAGCAAAGUUUUUCUUUCUUCCCUUCGAAGAUCUAAGGGUCAUGGUUCAGCUGACCACACAGCGAUCAGCAACCUGCCUUUUUCAAGUUCCAUCCACAGUCUACGGUUUAAGCCAUGCCGUGAUUAACCCUGACACGUGGCCUCUUCUCCAGAAAACCCUUCCAGGCUGCAGACAAGUCUGUCUUACUCAAUUAAAUACUGGCUGCCUGGAUCCGGAUUUGGCCGGAAGCUACCCUAAAGGACUUGAUGUUGAAAGAAGACUGUCUUUGGGGGGAAGGUAGACGUUUCCCGUGUGUAAAAGUUGCUUUGUGUUACAUUGUCUUACAUUGUCUUUUGUUCA
rnacentral:sRNA from 1 species